rnacentral:tRNA from 1 species
GGGUGUAUAACUCAGUGGAAGAGUAACAACCUGCCAGGUUGUGUGCACGGGUUCGAUUCCCGUUAUGCCCA